GGCUGGGGACGGCUUGCGGCCUUACGGAGUCCUGAGCGGCCCCCUCUCACUCUGCAGCGAUGGGCAAGUUCAUGAAGCCGGGGAAAGUGGUGCUGGUCCUUGCCGGACGCUACUCCGGACGCAAAGCCGUCAUCGUGAAGAACAUCGACGACGGCACCUCCGACCGCCCCUACAGCCACGCCCUGGUGGCCGGGAUUGACCGCUACCCCUGCAAAGUGACAGCCGCCAUGGGCAAGAAGAAAAUCGCCAAGAGGUCGAAGAUCAAGUCCUUUGUGAAGGUGUAUAACUACAACCACCUCAUGCCCACAAGGUACUCGGUGGACAUCCCGCUGGACAAGACCGUGGUCAACAAGGACGUCUUCAGGGACCCCGCCCUCAAGCGCAAGGCCCGGCGGGAGGCGAAGGUCAAGUUCGAGGAGAGAUACAAGACGGGCAAGAACAAGUGGUUCUUCCAGAAGCUCCGGUUUUAGGUGUUUUUUGUUUGUCAUUAAAAAAAUUAAAAA